rnacentral:rRNA from 1 species
UACAGAGACUGCAAGCGUUAUUCGGAUUCACUGGGCGUAAAGGGCGCGUAGGCGGCCGCCUAAGUCAGACGUGAAAUCCCUCGGCUCAACCGGGGAACUGCGUCUGAUACUGGGUGGCUUGAAUCCGGGAGAGGGAUGCGGAAUUCCAGGUGUAGCGGUGAAAUGCGUAGAUAUCUGGAGGAACACCGGUGGCGAAGGCGGCAUCCUGGACCGGCAUUGACGCUGAGGCGCGAAAGCCAGGGGAGCAAACGGG